rnacentral:rRNA from 1 species
GACAGAGGGGGCAAGCGUUGCUCGGAAUCACUGGGCGUAAAGGGCGCGUAGGCGGGAUGGCAAGUCGGUCGUGAAAUCCUUCGGCUCAACCGAAGAACGUCGGCCGAUACUGCUGUUCUUGAGGGAUGCAGAGGAGAUUGGAAUUCCAGGUGUAGCGGUGAAAUGCGUAGAUAUCUGGAGGAAUACCGGUGGCGAAGGCGGCAUCCUGGACCGGCAUUGACGCUGAGGAGCGAAAGCUAGGGGAGCAAACGGG